rnacentral:lncRNA from 1 species
GGUUCGAAUCCCUUUCAGUAACUUUAUUUACUUUUCUUUUCUUUUUUCAUCUUCAACUCAAACCCUAGCUCUUCUCCGACGUCGUUUACAGAUCUCCGUCUACUAAUUUCUCAUAUUCUUUCAUCAUUCAGUAUCGAAAUCUAUCUUGUAAUAUUAUUCAAUUUUACAGCCGAAAUUCACCCCCAAACCACCGGUUCAGAGGAGACGAACUCUUGUGUUGUCUAAAAGGCACAUUCGCGGGUUGAUGCAAUUGCAUAAAGCAAGACACUUGAUGCAUCUAGAAAGCUUGAAGUAUUGAGUAGAAUCCGACAUCCUCAUCCGCUGAUUCUAAUCGGUGCAUGUGUGGAUCAUGGUUGUUUGGUUUACGGGUACAUGGGGAAACGGGAGUUUGGACGAAUGAUUAUUUCAUAAUCGCAAAAACAACACACUAGCAUGGGAAGUAGCGUCAACUCUAAUUGGAGGGACCCAUGUGGUGGAAACAGCACCAGUCUCUGAUAAUAUAAUGAUGGUUUGAUACAGGAUGUUAUAGUUGAUCCUUGUGUGGCUGCUGAUAGCUACACGUACGAUUGGAGGGUGAUAGAGCAAUGGUUUGAUACAGGAUGUUGUAGUUGAUCCUAACGCCUAAUUACGUGCUUCUUUCGGCAAUCAUGGAGUGGAAAUCAACAACAUAACCAUUUGAGUGGGAAUUUUUUGAUGCAACCUGAUUUUGUUAGGAUUGUUUUAUGUACAGUAGUUUGAUUUAUCUAUAUGUUAUAUGGACCUGUCUUGAACUUUGAGUAUGCAAAUUUAUAAAGUGUACAUCACUUUU